rnacentral:tRNA from 1 species
GUUUUAAUAGCUUAUACUAAGAGCAUAGCAUUGAAGAUGCUAAGGAGGGAAGUAUCCCUUAUUACA